GGACUCCAAGCCCGCGGCAACGGAGCGGCGGCCCCGCGGGGCUCUCCGCGCGGCGGCGCAGGCCCGGGCUCCUUCUCUUCCCCUCGCUGGGCUCGGCCGAAUUCUGGCAACCCGCAGACUAGGUGCCGCGGGGAGACCAACGGGCCCGCAGGGGUGACAUCACCUGCCACCCCGGGAUCUCCAAGCGCAGUUUCGGGGGCCGGCGCGGCUGCCAGGCCCCUCCCCUAGGCAAGCCUGCGAGGCGGCGCUGACGGGGUUAAUGUCCUGCCCGCCGGAGGGCCGCCUUGGCCGCCCAGGGACUCUUUCCUUCCAAACCGUAACAACGCCUCGUCUAUCUAAACACCCUUGACCUGGCAGCUUGGCCGUUCCCGCCCCACUCUCCAGGGGCGGCGGCUGGAGAAAGGCCAGAGGCUGGGGGUGAGUGAGGGGCUGCGGAGGACAAACCCGGGUCCCGGAGAGGCUGGGGUCCUUCCAGGGUCCCCUUCGGGGGAUUCCUAGCACAGCGCAGGAGGCAUACCGUGUAUACACAGCCGCACACAAACGGAGGGAAGUCUGGGGUCAGGACGCCUCCGAGAACCGAACCUUUAGAAACAAAAUCCCUCCUGAGACCCCACAAAAGCAGCGAAGAGGUGGGGCGGGGGUGCCUGUCCCCUGAGUGCUGCUGGUUCUGUGAGACCCAAGGCAGCUUGCGGUUCUGCAGGCCUCCUUAGGCUAAAGGACUCCAGAGCAGGGGCUGGAGGGGUGGGGUCAGCCUAGGGUGGUCCACGGCAGCAGGGGCUGAAGCUCCCGAGUCUAAGGGAAGGGAGGCAUCGGGCCAUUUGUGCUGGUUUUACCUCACAUAGUGAGGUUUCUGAUAACCGAGGUGACCCCCCCCCCCACCCCCAAGGAGCUUAAGAGCAAAGCUGGGACCCAGCUCUACAGAUGGGCCCACAAGGUGCUGCUCCCCCCGCCCUCUGUGGGGGGCAGUCUUGCCAGCACCCACAGAGCAUGGGGGAGGAGGCUCUCAUCAUCCCAAACAACUGUGAGUCUAGAUCUUCUUAAGGGGAGAGCAGACCCUCACCAUGAUGCCGAAAGGAAGCCUGCACCCAGCCCCUGCAGCUGCCUGGGCAGAGGCCUGCAGAGCCGCCCCAGGGGAAGACGGUGGCCACGCAGCAGGUCGGGAGGUACAGCCGCGGGAGAUGCUCUGGGUUGUGGAAAGCCUCCACAGGACUGGGAGGACCGAGCCGGCACCUGGAGCUUGGCGGAGAGGGAGGCGUACAUCUCCAAUGAGAUGCUCCAGAAAUAGAGCCCGGAUGGGAGAGGAAGCAAGUAGGCUCUCUGAGGAACCAGCGGGAGGACAGGGAUCGUGCAGGAGCAGAGAGGGGCCCAGGGCCUCUCUUCUACCCACGUGGGACUCUCGGAAGGCAGAGGAAAGGUAGAAGCAGGAGCACAGUCCAGGGAACCAGGAGCACUGCCCCCUCCCCAACCACCACCACCACCACCACCACCAAGGCAGCCCCGGCCCUCUCUCCACAGUGCAGGGAUUUUCCUGAUGGCCACAUCCGGGCACUGGCUCUGAGCAGGCCAUGGAGGCAUGUUUCUGUGAGUCACAUACAUUUGCAUACAUUUUACAUUUUUAUCUACAAAGGCUUGAGCAAGCUAUUUUCAGCAUUUUUGAAACUAAAAUGUUACAGUCGCUCUCCUUAGCGUUGCCAUAGUUUGCUUUUUCCUGCAUACAUUCUGUCCAAUCCUGUCUUGGACCUCCCACUCCAGACACAGUUCAGGGUAGAGGGAGAAAGCACUGUCAGGGGCCACGGAGAGGAACACUCCUAAUAACUAACAGAGAAUGACUGCACUGCACCUGGCUCGGGUCCCGGUGUUCUGUUUACAAGAUUAUCUCACCGUGACCCUCACUCCCUCAGUUCCCUCCAUUUCCCGGAUGAGAAAACUGAGGCACAGAGCAGCUAAGUAACCCACCCAGCCAGUAAAUGGAGGGCUGGGACUUGAACCCUGUUGCCGUCUGCUCAUGCUUUUAAAUGCCAUGCAUGCUGCCUGCACUGUCAGUGGCUGGUGAAAGCAAAGUGACAAAGGCCCCUGGAAAUCUUUGCUGGUCCAUGAGUUAGAGACCACUUUCCAGGAACCCCCCCCCCCCCCAGCCCUCUUCCGUCACCAUACACCUGUCUCACACAGGUCCCAGGAAAGGGUGGUUACUUCUUGGUUCCCUGGAUGCCUCUGCUGGGUGCUUUCAGCAGGUGCUAACAGCACACAGCCUGACUCCAGCCUUAGCUACAGAGACACCUUUGAGCAGCAGGGUGCCUUCAGACUGCAGCAGAAACUUCCAGAAUCCGGGGAGGGGAGGGGAGGAGUUUGGGGGAGACCCAAUCUUAGGGAGGAAGGAGUUAACGAGUUACUCUCAUCUGCAUUUUGCCAAAGGUGAAGUGCUCGGCCAGCAGCAGCGCAGCAGCGCAGCAGCGCCGAUCUGUCGGAGCAGCAGGGGUGCCUUCCUGUGGACAGGCUGCCCUGAUUCAGCGGAGUGCAGACCUGUCCACGCAGCCGAGGCCCUGAGUCAGCACCCACCACAAGGUGUCCUCCAGGCCUGCACUAACCAUUCACGUCCAGUCCCAUGAGUGCACGCUCUCCACCUUCCCCAGCCCUCUCUCUGGGCUGGCCUGUGUCCGCAGGCUGUGUGGGGCUCCCCACCUCCCACGCUGACUACCCUGCUCCUGCCUCACCACCACGCCUUGCCAGGAGUGCUGAUGAUGACGGACUGAGGGGGAAGAGGUUGUAUCCCAUCCUGAAGGUCAGAGGCCUCGCACAUAAUUCCCAGGAGUGUGCUAUUCACUGCCCCUCCAUCGACCAACUCUUCUUUCUACCAGCCGCUUGGCCAGGAUGGAAAACAGUGACUGUGCUUAGAACAGAACCCAAACUGGGUAUUCCCACUUUUCUUCCCUCCUCACUGUUGGCAACCCAGCUCCGCUGUGCACAGCAAGGAGCCCUCCCCCGCAACCCCACCACCAACCCUGAGUCUCCGCUGCCUCAAUCCCCCAGAGGACACUGCUGGUAAAGAGAAUAUCCACUUGCCUCUCUCCACUCUGGGGCCAGCAGGGAGCGCCAGUGAGCAGAGGUUGGGUGUACAGGCAGCCAGGAGGGUGGAGCUCUUUGCAUUCAAAUUAAAAUAAAACAAAACA